GAAGGAAUUUUGCCGUCGCUCCAGCACGCAACAGUUUUGCCGCUAGACACGGGCCGAUGUCCGUGCCGCCCUCCCCAUCGCCCUGAGACACCUAUGCGAAGCAGGAGCGGGCGUGGAGGCGCCGGGGCUGAGGUUAAACUGAGGCUCCCUGAAGACUGAAUUCCAUGCCCGGUGCCCUGGGCUGAGUUCAAAUUUCCUGUAAGGCUGAGUGGUUUAUAAAAAAGCAGAAGCUGAACAUCAAAUAUCUGCAUUUUUCUUUCCUUAUGGAAAGUAUGAAUUAAAUCAACAAAUAGAUCUUUAGCAAAUAAUUAAAAUUAGGAAGGAGGUCCUUCAGGAGAAGAUCCUGUAACUCCUGUCCAUCUCUGAAAAUCUUCAGAGGAAGCUCCCACUCUCUACUGACAAGACCCAGAAAUUGGGUGUGUUGCCUUACAAACCUGCGUGGCUUGAAGACUGGCAGUGCUUAUUCCCAGCCACCCAUCCCUGCCUCUGCUCCCAGCAGCAGGCAUGAAAAUGUCAAACAUGGAGCAGCUUCUGUACCUGGCAUAUUAAAUAAAGCCUUCUCAUCUGCUGGACUGUGAGCUGGAACAGUGAAGAAGCUGCUGUGUGUGCAGUUGAGCUCCUCAUCCAAAAAUGGGGAAGCCUCUGGAAGAAUGAGGUGGGAGCAGAAACCACCUCAUCCAGUCAACCUCAAGUGCCCAGAUUUGUGACUCAGCCACCAAAUGUGCCCCCUUGGGGAAGACUGGGUCACUAAGCACCUACAGCUUCUGUGCAAGCAUAUUUGCAGGCUGGGUCCCACACUUACAAUACAGCCAAAUUCAGACUCCAACACCGUCUAAGAAUCUGGAUAAAUAUUGUCUGAAGACAGUAGGUGUAUUUCCACUGAUAAUAAUGGGACCUGCACACAUGGAUGAUGUAGAGCAGAGAAUUACAUAUGUGUGUGUGUAUAUAUAUCACAUAUAUAUAUGUGUCACAUAGUUACUAAAAGUCAGGUGUUUUAAAGAGAAUGAGAAAGAAACAGAAUACCAUUAGAGAGGUGUUGAAUUGCCCCCUUGCAGUCCGUUAGAAGUUAAAGGCCCUUCUUCUGCUCUCUUUGUGCAACUUAGAUUUUUGCCUUGUCUGAAUGGGAAUAGCCAAAGUUUGUCCGUUGCCCUGAGCUGAUUCAUCUAGGCUGACCUUUGGUGGUCUCCAGAGCAAGACAAGAGAUGCUGCUCACUCCCUCUCCCACCAAUUUGAAAAGAAGAAUAUCUGUUUUACUCCAGCAUUGGCAAUCACAAUGCAGCACCUGCACAGCUGUGCACACUGAUUUAAUGUCUUCUCCCGCUUCAAGAACCCUUAAAGCCAGUGUCAGGAUCUGCUCCUUUCUUUUCAUUAUAAUAUAGCUUGGAGAGAGCCUUGACAUUGCAGUUGUAAUCUGAUUUAUUCAUAACGGUGUUCCUCCUUAAAUAGCUUUUUGGUUUUUCUUUUUUCCCUUCCUUAGGAUAAAUGUAUGCAGGUCAUUGCAGGGAACCAGGCAUCUGUAUGGCAUCCUUAUUCCCACUACACACUGUACCUGAGGACCAUAAAGUUUCAAACACUGACUGACAAAGGUUUCUGUAAGCCCUUUAAUUUUAUUUUCACCUCAUCAUGCCAAGUUCUACCUGAUCUAAAGCGUUGAGAAAAAGAAGCAGUCAGAGCAGAGAGAGGUCGUCAAGGAUCCUUCAGUCUACCAGUUGGUGAAGAAACUCAGCAUGCACUGUAGAUUGCAUCAGAAUAAAUUCUCCUGGGGGUUAAAGUGAUAAAGGGAGGCAUUUCUAGCCGCUACAUCUCCCAUAUAAGAGCAGAUUUCACUUCAUUCACUGCUAUAAGAUGUAAAAGAUAAUGUCUUCACUGAGUUGAUGUUAAAAAAAAGAGAGACAAAGGGAAACUUUUAUGAAAGGUGCACAGAAAGUCUAAGAUAUUACUUCAAAGGGGACAAAACCUUUCUUAAAAGUAUUAGGUGAAAGUCAAAUAUCCAUCCUUGUCUUGCUGCCUGUCAUGAUUUUAGCUGGCUAAUUAUAAAAACUUAAUCAUAAGGGAUCUGAUCCUGAGUUACUGAACAUGUUCAAACUCCAUUGGAGUUCACAACUUUUAACUUUGUUCAGCAAGUCAAAGGGUUAGGUACGAAUUAAAUAAUGUCACAUCCCAAGUGCCUUCUUGUGACUAUUUAGUCUCUGUCCUCUCAAGACUUCAACUGUCUCAUGAAGCAUCUAUAAUUUCCACUGACUUCAGUUCAAGCUUUGGUGCAUCGUGCAUGUGGGAUCCGGCCCACGUAUGGUGGGAAGAAUAAAAAUUUUGUCUACAGAUCAUGGUUGGGAUAUGAAUUCAGUCUCUACUAAAUAGAUACUAUAACAAAAAAGUUUGCUGUAUAUCUUCAGAUGUCCUGGAUAGGAAAGGAAAGCAGCUUCUGAGAGCCCACAGUUCCAUGUAUUUUAUGAGUCAGACAAGAAAUUAGUUUUCAUAAGAAAUUAAUUGAACUAAUUUUCCUGCUUUGUAAAAAUUAUAUUUCUGUAUUUCUAAGGAAGGGCAUUUCUACCUCCUGUUUCUACUUCCAAUGAAACCAGUGGUUGAACUAACCGGUUUAAGGCAUUAUCCUGCUCUCACUUAGUGGCAACAACUGCUGUAUUGAUGUAUUGGCUUCGGCAGCAGGCAGGGGAGGGUAAGAAUAAAACCAGAGAACUCCAGUUCCACUGAGCAGUGGCUGUAGCAAUAAUAAAAAAACACCCUCACUUUAAUAAAACAUGAGCACUAUUACAAGAAACAGUUCCAUAUAUUUUCUUGUCUCAGAACACAGGAUAUCUAGUUCUGUUUAUCCUUAGCAUGAACAAAUCUUUGUGAAUGCCUGAAAGUCACUUUUUUCUAGUGAAAAUACGUACUUGUGGUUAAAAGAAGACAAACAUCCAAGCAAUGCUUCUAGUAGAAAUGUUCUUUCUGGCUCUAAAAGAUAGCUUUGUCCAAAACACACCCUAUUUAUUAUUUAUUCUUGGAUAUUUUUGUUUCCGAUUCAAUUUAGGGCAAACCUUAACUCUAGGUGAUCACUUU